rnacentral:tRNA from 1 species
GGCGUGGUGGCCCAGUGGUGAGGCGUUGGUCUCAUUCACCAAAGAGCAUGGGUUCAACCCCCAUCCAUGCCU